rnacentral:rRNA from 1 species
UACGUAGGGGGCAAGCGUUGUCCGGAUUUAUUGGGCGUAAAGAGCGUGUAGGCGGCCUGAAAGGUCAGCUGUGAAAACUCGAGGCUUAACCUCGAGACGUCGGCGGAAACCAUCUGGCUAGAGUCCGGAAGAGGAGAGUGGAAUUCCUGGUGUAGCGGUGAAAUGCGCAGAUAUCAGGAAGAACACCCGUGGCUAAGGCGGCUCUCUAGUACGGUACUGACGCUGAGACGCGAAAAGCCGUGGGGAGCGAACAGGG